rnacentral:lncRNA from 10 species
ACUCCUGAGCCAGCGAGACCACGAACCCACCGGAAGGAAGAAACUCUGAACACAUCCGAACAUCAGAAGGAACAAACUCCGGACACGCCGCCUUUAAGAACUGUUAACACUCACCGCAAGGGUCCGCGGCUUCGUUCUUGAAGUCAGUGAGACCAAGAACCCACCAAUUCCGGACACAAGGGGAGCUGACUUUCAUUAUAAAGAUUUUCUCAUUGCAAAGUGAAAAAGAGAAUAAUAACUUUAAAACAAGGCAGAAAGUAAAGAGAACUGGAAGCGAGGAACAUGCUCUGAACUAGAACUGGCAACAUGAGAGAUGAGCUCAGGCUUCAAAAUGGUGUCUGCACUGGGUCUUGAAGGAAGAGCAGAGUUUGGGCAUUUAGAAACCAAGAAUUCCAGCCGGUUUCUUCAGACUGAUAACAAGAAUCAGCAAAAGUCUGAGAGCAGGAGUGCAGCUCAUUGGUACAGCAGCCAUAGUAAACAAGGAGGAAGGGAAUCCCUUCAUGAGGACAGGAGGGAAAGAAGGAGGAUUUACUUUAAACCUGUAAGUAUUUCCAAGGCGACUGCUGGAGAGAAGUAAACAGCAGCUAUAAAUAAUUUUCUACCCCAAAUGCUUUGGGGUCUUUUUAGCUACCUUCACCUGUGAGCAUCAUCUGAGACUUGACAUAUUUAGUGAGGAGACACUUAAAGAGGGGAUGGAAUGAACAUAAGUGCCGUUGGGGGUAGCUCUUGUAGACAUUUUAAAACGGAGUCUUUGUGAUUUGCUUCUGUGCCUCCACUAUUUGCCGAACAACAUACUACUGGUGAUACCAGAAAUGUGCUAUGGUGACUGCUGAAGAGGUAAUCUCAGAGGUGGCUUCCUUCUCUGCAGUGACCAUCCAGCCUCGUAAAGAACAACAAAGGUUGAAGGGCUGCCCCAUGAUUAAUAUCUGUGGUCAAGAGGGAAAGCCUGGUUUUUAGUCUGCUGGUAAAUGCAGUCAGUGGCAGGUCAGGUUGCUGUCCCCUGGACUUCCUUCAAAUUAAUUGCAGCAUUUCCUAUGAUAGUGGCUUGGUGAUGCUGGAAGCCAAAAAUUUAUUUUCUUGAUUAUUUAGAGCGGCAGUAAACUGUAUAUAAGAAGUCAGGUGCAUUACCUAAACCAUGGUCAUAUAGGGAAUGACUUCCUUUUCUACAACUUGCAAUGCUGCCCAUGAUAGGGAUGUCGGUCAAAUAUAAAUGAGGGAGUAUGACUUGUUUUUGUCAUAGAAAAGCAGGCCUAUAAUCACAGACCUGUCCAGAGUGAAGGAACUGUAAAGGUUACCAUUCUCCCUUUUAAAGAACAUAUUCCUUCUAUACCCUGGAUAGAUCCAGCCUCUACUUGAAUAUUUCCUAUAAUGAAAAUAUCACAGUCUCAGCAAACUUUUUCAACAAAGGGCCAGACAGUAAAUAUUUUAGGUUUUGCAGGCCCUUGGGUUUUUAUUUUAAUGUAACUACUAAACCUGCUAAUGUAGGAAACCAGCUAUGGACAAUAUGUAAGUCAAUGGGUAUGACUGUGUUACAAUAAAACUUUAUUUACAAAAACUGGCGAUGGGCUGAAUUUGGCUCACGGGCAUAAUUUGCCUAUCCCUGAGAUAGGCCAUUAUUUUGCAAGACAGCCAUAGUUUUUAGAACUUCUACCUCGAACUCUUUGAGGACUUUCACUAGUCCUGCAGUGAGUGAUUUUCCAGCUUCCCUCCAUUCUCUGUUCAUUCCCUGAUUUGCUUCUGAGGCCCCCUGUGCACACACUGUCAAAUAACUCAACGCAUCGUAUUAUUAUAGUCUGACUUGUUUCUCCUCAACUACACUGUGAAAGUAGAGAUCCAGCUUUAUUUCGUGUUACCACAUUAAGCACAUUACUUGGUACAUAAUAAUAAUUGCUGA